rnacentral:rRNA from 1 species
UGGGGAAUUUUGGACAAUGGGCGAAAGCCUGAUCCAGCAAUGCCGCGUGUGUGAAGAAGGCCUUCGGGUUGUAAAGCACUUUUGUCCGGAAAGAAAUCCUUGGCUCUAAUACAGUCGGGGGAUGACGGUACCGGAAGAAUAAGCACCGGCUAACUACGUGCCAGCAGCCGCGGUAAUACGUAGGGUGCAAGCGUUAAUCGGAAUUACUGGGCGUAAAGCGUGCGCAGGCGGUUUGCUAAGACCGAUGUGAAAUCCCCGGGCUCAACCUGGGAACUGCAUUGGUGACUGGCAGGCUAGAGUAUGGCAGAGGGGGGUAGAAUUCCACGUGUAGCAGUGAAAUGCGUAGGGAUGUGGAGGAAUACCGAUGGCGAAGGCAGCCCCCUGGGCCAAUACUGACGCUCAUGCACGAAAGCGUGGGGAGCAAACAGGAUUAGAUACCCUGGUAGUCCACGCCCUAAACGAUGUCAACUAGUUGUUGGGGAUUCAUUCCUUAGUAACGUAGCUAACGCGUGAAGUUGACCGCCUGGGGAGUACGGUCGCAAGAUUAAAACUCAAAGGAAUUGACGGGGUCAUAGCUG